CUCCAAGCAGAAAGGAGGGAGGAGACUCGGUGAGGGCACAGCUGUGCCUGGGGAAGUGGUCUGUGCCUCGCCUUGAGCUCCCCAGACCCCGAUUACGGUCCUCACGUAAUGGAGAGCAGGCUCGGGGAGGACGGUUUGCUCAAUCUCACGUUCCCUGGAGGGGACUCGUUUUCUCUAACAGAGACAGCAGCAAGAAGAGCAGGCCUGGAAAAAAUUCCCAUGGUGGUCCAGAAUUCACUGAUAGAAGGAUAUUCCUGCUUGCUUCUAGGAUCUUGAUAAUGUUGCUCCAUUUCGCUUUCAUCCAGAUCAAGAUGACUGACAACUUGAGUAAUUUCCUAUUCAUUGCGAGUGGGAGAGAGAAAGGUAGAGAGAAUCCCAAGCAGGCCCCAUGCUGACAGUGCAGAGCCUGAGGCGGGA